rnacentral:lncRNA from 10 species
AUGUUUUAUGCACCAAGGAACACACCAGCACAGGCUCGUACUACCACCCUUAAUGAGGAGCUCGGCCAAGUCAAAUACGUGUUCUCUGACAAAACAGGGACUCUGACUCAGAACAUUAUGAUUUUCAACAAAUGUUCUAUUAAUGGGAAGCUCUAUGGUGAUACUUAUGACAAGGAUGGACAGAGGGUGACAGUCUCUGAGGUGAGUGAUUACAGCUCUAUGGGAAAUGCAUGUGGGAGCUAAGUGAGGCUGUGCUUCAGAGAAGCACAAAUUGAGACUCCCUUAGCCACUGAAAUAUUAAAGCUUUUAUUGGCCCUGUAAUAUCAGAAAUAUCAGAAAGCAUUAUGUAAAUGACCUAUGUUUAAUUCUGAAGAUCUUCGUUUGUUCUUUUUAAACAAAAAUAGCUUUAUUGGCUUUUUCUCUUUAAAAAAUAAUCCAUGCUCAUUGUAAAAAAAAUUUAAACAAUACAGAAAUGUGUGAAGAAAGUUAAAAGUAUUCCAUCCCAUUUAGAUAGCCAAUGUAAAGUUAGGGAGUAUAUCUUAUGCUUUUCAUAUGUAUAUACACACACACAUAUGUACAUCUAGAUCUAGAAGAUGGAGGAGACAAAAUCAUAGUAUGCAUAUUAUUUCCAGUUUCCUUUUGUUCACUUGACACUAUUAUUGUCAUCAUCUUUCCAUGUCAGUAGGUCUAGGUUUACAUCAUCAUUUUGAAUGGGUGUCUACUAUUCAAUUCUAUCAGUGUACCUUAAUUUAUUUAAUUUCUUAUUUUUAUUCCAUUUUCUUUUGUGAUUACAAAUGACAUUUUGGUAAUCAUUAUGGCACAUACAUUUUGUCUACCUUUCUGAUAAUUAUUUCUUUAGAAUAAAGUCCUAGAAGUAAAAUUUGUUGGUCAAAAUGUAGCCAUGUUUUAAUACAUUAGAUAGUGCCAUAUUGCCCUCCAGGUAGAUUUGCAUAACUUUAUAAUCCCACCAAAAAUAUAUGACAAUUUCUUUCCCCCCAUAUGCUUGUCAGAACUGGUAUUAACAAUUUUUAAUCUGUUGAAAUUUAAUUGAUGAAAAAUAGUAUCUAAUUAUUUAAUUUACCUUUUUUGAUUACUAACUAGAUUGAAUCAUUUUUAUGUGCUUAUUUUUCUUCCCCUUAUCAUCUCUUUAUUGCCCAUUUACACUUACUUUGUGAACUGUCUAUUCAUAUUCUUCGGCCUUUUUUUCUUAUUUGAAAAUGCUCUUUAUACAGUAAAAAUACCAGCUCUUCCUUUGUCUGGUGCAUAUGUUACAGUUAUUUUUCCCAUUUUGUCUUUUGAUUUUUAAUUUUUUAAAUAAUAUUUUGUGUAGAAGUUUUUAAGUCAUGUAAUCAAAUCAGUCAUUUUCCUUUAUAACUUAAGGAUUUGUGACAUAUUCAACAGUCUUUAUAAAAUUAUAAAAAUAUCUUCCUAUUAAUUUUUCUUAUCUCUAGCUGGUUAAUUUUUACUGUUUUCUCUAGUAUUGGACCCCGCUUUUGUUUAUGGGUUUGUUUUUAAGUAUCCCUUCAUAGGGGUUCCUCUGUUGCCUUCAGGGUAUUUCUCACCUUAUCCCUUUGCCAGACCCAAUUCCAAACUCUUGGCCACUUGACUUAUAUACCAAACAUCUGACUCCAGUUCUUACCCCUAUCCAUCCAAAGAGAUUGGGAAGGGGAAGGAAAUUCAGUGAUUUGCCUUAAAUCAUCUUCCAGGGCUCGGCUAAUGAACUUGGCAAUAUAGGCAAAGUUAUAGCUUCUAGGGAGUAAAUCCCUCCUGGAGUUUCUUUCCUCUCCCUCUUCUGUCCACGACUGAUUGACCAUAACACGUUUUUCACUAAUCACUGGACUCUUUGUUCUCUUAUAAACAAACUUACCUGUAGCCUCAAUCCCUUCAUUAAUUGAAACAUGAUUUUCCCUGAGAACAUUUCUUUUUCUUCCAUCUCUCUCAUACUCUGCAUACCAUAAACUCUGGAUACGAUAAGCCCAAAGGUGUUGCCCUCAUUAUCCUGUGCCAUGUUUAAUCAUUAGGUUUUCUCUCCUACACGGUCUUUCUUCCUGUGAUGCUUAUGACUCUGGCUAUAAUCAUCUUUAACUCUUCUUGUUGUUGCUAUCUAGGAAGCUUCUGGCUUCUACACCCCAUUCACUGAGGGCUCUGAAACUUCUCCCUCCCCUCCCAAUCACUGCUAGUGUUUUGGGGGGUAUUGUCAUCUUUAUUGGACGACCUAUCACUGUGGACUCUUUCAGGUAUCUGAAAGAAUCCUUCAGAUGAUCUCUCUGUAUCACCCAUUUCCAUAUUACUAUGUCAUUGUCCAGAGUUGUACUACUGUGGAAUUAUAAACUUUCUUUUCACAAUCUUAGAUCACAAACCUUAUUCCUCCAUAUUAUCAGCACAUGGCUCAGUAAUUGAGAUUUUUUUUAAGUAUUCCUGCUUUUUUAUCUCAUGGAGAUUUAUAAACCCUUGGCUUUCCUUUUUCUCCAGUCUAUCAAUUCCUUACAACUUUACUUCCUUUCCUAGCUUGCCUGUCUGUACCCUGAGAUCAUAAGCAUCCUCAGUACCUUACUAGUUCUCCUUUUCUUCUCUUUAAUCACUAAACAAAUCUCAACCUUGAAUUAACCAAGCCAUCGAUCCUGCUCUGUUUCUAAUCUGAGAGUGUUGAGCACUAUUUUGGAGAUCAUAAAACCAUUACAAAUUCAGAGACUCCACUGUCCUCUGUCCCAGUGCUACUUGGCAAAUUUUUCACCAUUUUGUAAUUGGCUUCAUAUUUUAUUCUCCGUAUCAGCUUUUCUAGACAAUCACCAUUCUCAGGCCUUCUACCACGCUCCCCUGGCCCCCCAGUAUGUACCAAAUGAUAUUCCCUUCUAUUUUACUGAGAAAAAUCCAAACUAUCAGCUAAAUAUCCUCCUCUGUACAUAUAUUUUAACCCGCCUUUACCUCCUUUCCUUCAGUCUCAAAAAAGGUAUAACUUUUUCCUUCAGUACUAAUCUAUAUAUUCUAGAUUCCAUCCCUUUCUACUUCUUCAGGAACCUCAGUCAAUCCUGUAUUUUCUCUUUCUUAAUAUCUGAAUAUCCCCUUAUAUGAUUUUUUCUCCUCAGCUUGUCUUUUUUCUUUUUUUUUUUUUCUUUUUUUUUCUUCACAGAGUCUGGCUCCAUCGCCCGGCUGGAGUGCAGUGGCACGAUCUCAGCUCACUGCAGCCUCCGCCUCCCAGGUUCAGGUGAUGAUUGUG